rnacentral:rRNA from 1 species
UACAGAGGGUGCGAGCGUUGUUCGGAAUUAUUGGGCGGAAAGGGUGCGUAGGCGGUUCGUUAAGUCUGUCGUGAAAUCCCCGGGCUCAACCUGGGAAUGGCGAUGGAUACUGGCGAGCUAGAGUGUGUCAGAGGAUGGUGGAAUUCCCGGUGUAGCGGUGAAAUGCGUAGAGAUCGGGAGGAACAUCAGUGGCGAAGGCGGCCAUCUGGGACAACACUGACGCUGAAGCACGAAAGCGUGGGGAGCAAACAGG